rnacentral:lncRNA from 1 species
GACGCCACGGCUGGGACCUCCGCCGUGUCGUCAUGGUCGUCUCGCUCCAACCGGGCGCCAAGCGGCGCGCUCCGUCCCCCGAAUCCGCGCCACCCCGGCCGGAUCUGGACGGGCGGCGGCUGGUGGCGGCUGGUGGCGGCAACCGGUGAUGGUGGCGGCUGGCGGCUGGCGGCGGCGGCUGGUGACGGUGGUGUGGGGACGACCGGCGGACCACGGUGGCUGAUGGCGGCGGCCGUGGUGGCGAUGGUUGGCGACGGCGCCUGUGCGGCAGACGGCGCGUCGACGUCAGCGGCAGCUUAUGAAGACGGGGAAGGAGCUGGGCGGCGGGGAAGGAGGAGACCGGGAGCAGGCGUGGCGUGGGCGAUGGUUGCGUGUGGCAGCGUUGCACGGCUCGGGAGGGCUCCAGCGAGCUCGGCGGCUGCGCGGAGUCGAGACGGGCUCCGGCAGGGUUGCUCGCUGGCGGCGAGCCUACUACUCGCGAUGUGUGGAUGUGGAUGUGCUGGCGUGUUUGGUUACGUCGAGUCGGAGCUGCUCGCUGAUGGGGUGCGGCGAUGCUUGGCAACGAUGACAAGUUGCAGUCUCUUCCAAGGAGUUGGUGCUGGCCGUGUGAAGGAAGUGGCUCGUUGGUGGCUUGGCUGA